GACAGAGGGUGCAAACGUUGUUCGGAAUUACUGGGCGUAAAGCGCGUGUAGGCUGCUUCGCAAGUCGGAUGUGAAAGCCCUGGGCUCAACCCAGGAAGUGCAUUCGAAACUGCAGAGCUGGAGUCCUGGAGAGGAAGGCGGAAUUCUCGGUGUAGAGGUGAAAUUCGUAUAUCGAGAGGAACACCGGUGGCGAAGGCGGCCUUCUGGACAGUGACUGACGCUGAGACGCGAAAGCGUGGGGAGCAAACAGG
rnacentral:rRNA from 1 species